rnacentral:rRNA from 1 species
AGAAAGCACUUCGGUGUGAGUACAGCGGCGGACGGGUGAGUAACGCGUAGGAAUCUACCUGGUAGUGGGGGGACAACAUGGUGAAAACCAUGCUAAUACCGCAUACGCCCUAAGGGGGAAAGCGGGGGGAUCUUCGGACCUCGCGCUAUCAGAUGAGCCUGCGUAGGAUUAGCUUGUUGGUGAGGUAAGGCUCACCAAGGCGACGAUCCUUAGCUGGUCUGAGAGGAUGAUCAGCCACACUGGAACUGAGACACGGUCCAGACUCC